rnacentral:rRNA from 1 species
AACGAACGCUGGCGGCAGGCUUAACACAUGCAAGUCGAACGCAUCCUUCGGGGUGAGUGGCAGACGGGUGAGUAACGCGUGGGAACGUGCCCUUCAGUUCGGGAUAACCCAGGGUAACUUGGGCUAAUACCGGAUACGUGCGAGAGCAGAAAGAUUUAUCGCUGAAGGAUCGGCCCGCGUCUGAUUAGCUAGUUGGUGGGGUAAUGGCCCACCAAGGCGACGAUCAGUAGCUGGUCUGAGAGGAUGAUCAGCCACAUUGGGGCUGAGACACGGCCCAAACUCCUACGGGAGGCAGCAGUGGGGAAUAUUGGACAAUGGGCGCAAGCCUGAUCCAGCCAUGCCGCGUGAGUGAUGAAGGCCUUGGGGUUGUAAAGCUCUUUCGUCCGGGACGAUAAUGACGGUACCGGAAGAAGAAGCCCCGGCUAACUUCGUGCCAGCCGCCGCGGUAAUAC